GAUGAACGCUGGCGGCGUGCCUAAUACAUGCAAGUCGAGCGAACAGACGAGGAGCUUGCUCCUCUGACGUUAGCGGCGGACGGGUGAGUAACACGUGGAUAACCUACCUAUAAGACUGUGAUAACUUCGGGAAACCGGAGCUAAUACCGGAUAAUAUAUUGAACCGCAUGGUUCAAUAGUGAAAGACGGUUUUGCUGUCACUUAUAGAUGGAUCCGCGCCGCAUUAGCUAGUUGGUAAGGUAACGGCUUACCAAGGCAACGAUGCGUAGCCGACCUGAGAGGGUGAUCGGCCACACUGGAACUGAGACACGGUCCAGACUCCUAAGGGAGGCAGCAGUAGGGAAACAUCCGCAAUGGGAGAAAGACUGACGGAGCAACGCCGCGUGAGUGAUGAAGGUCUUCGGAUCGUAAAACGCUGUUAUUAGGGAAGAACAAAUGUGUAAGUAACUAUGCACGUCUUGACGGUACCUAAUCAGAAAGCCACGGCUAACUACGUG
rnacentral:rRNA from 1 species